rnacentral:rRNA from 1 species
UGGGGAAUCUUGCACAAUGGGGGCAACCCUGAUGCAGCGACGCCGCGUGAGCGAUGAAGCCCUUCGGGGCGUAAAGCUCUUUCGACCGGAACGAUAAUGACGGUACCGGGAGAAGAAGCUGCGGCUAACUACGUGCCAGCAGCCGCGGUAAUACGUAGGCAGCAAGCGUUGUUCGGAGUUACUGGGCGUAAAGAGUGCGUAGGCGGUUUUCUAAGUUCGGUGUGAAAUCUCCCGGCUUAACUGGGAGGGUGCGCCGAAGACUGGGAAGCUGGAGUGUGGGAAAGGCAGGCGGAAUUCCUGGUGUAGCGGUGAAAUGCGUAGAUAUCAGGAGGAACACCGGCGGUGUAGACGGCUUGCUAGACCAUAACUGACGCUGAGGCACGAAAGCGUGGGUAGCAAACAG